rnacentral:rRNA from 1 species
CUCUGACCGAGCAACGCCGCGUGAAUGACGAAGUACUUCGGUAUGUAAAGUUCUUUUAUCAAGGAAGAAAAGCAAAUGGCGAACCAUUUGUUUGCCGGUACUUGAUGAAUAAGCCCCGGCUAAUUAUGUGCCAGCAGCCGCGGUAAGACAUAAGGGGCAAGUGUUAUCCGGAAUUAUUGGGCGUAAAGGGUGCGUAGGCGGUCUAGUAAGUCAGUGGUGUAAUGGCAACGCUUAACGUUGUCCGGCUAUUGAAACUGCUAAACUUGAGUUAGAUAGAGGCGAGUGGAAUUCCAUGUGUAGCGGUAAAAUGCGUAAAUAUAUGGAGGAACACCAGAGGCGUAGGCGGCUCGCUGGGUCUUAACUGACGCUGAGGCACGAAAGCGUGGGGAGCAAACAGGAUUAGAUACCCUGGUAGUCCACGCCGUAAACGAUGAGUACUAAGUGUCGGGUUAAACCGGUACUGAAGUUAACACAUUAAGUACUCCGCCUGAGUAGUACGUACGCAAGUAUGAAACUUAAAGGAAUUGACGGGACUCCGCACAAGCGGUGGAUCAUGUUGUUUAAUUCGAAGAUACCCGAAAAACCUUACCAGGUCUUGACAUGUUUUUGCAAAAUGAUAGUAAUAUCGUGGAGGUUACCAGAAACACAGGUGGUGCAUGGUUGUCGUCAGCUCGUGUCGUGAGAUGUUAGGUUAAGUCCUAAAACGAGCGAAACCCUUAUCGUUAGUUGCCAGCACGUUAUGGUGGGGACUUUAACGAGACUGCCAAUGAUAAAUUGGAGGAAGGUGAGGAUCACGUCAAAUCAGCAUGCCCCUUAUGACCUGGGCUACAAACGUGAUACAAUGGCUGUUACAAAGAGUUUAGCUGAAAACGC